UACAGAGGUCUCAAGCGUUGCUCGGAUUCAUUGGGCGUAAAGGGUGCGUAGGUGGCGCGGUAAGUCGGGUGUGAAAUUUCGGAGCUUAACUCCGAAACUGCAUUCGAUACUGCCGUGCUUGAGGACUGGAGAGGAGACUGGAAUUUACGGUGUAGCAGUGAAAUGCGUAGAGAUCGUAAGGAAGACCAGUGGCGAAGGCGGGUCUCUGGACAGUUCCUGACACUGAGGCACGAAGGCCAGGGGAGCAAACGGG
rnacentral:rRNA from 1 species